rnacentral:ncRNA from 1 species
GUGUUGUAUGAAAGGAGAGGUUAGCAUUCGCCUUGACAAGGAUGGAAGAGGCCCCACAACACACAUACAAUGAAGGCAUUGCCAUCUACUUCAUGGCAUCUAACCAUCUUUUUUU